rnacentral:tRNA from 1 species
UUCUCUGUAGCUCAGUUGGUAGAGCGUGGUGUUUGCAACGCCAGGGUUGUUGGGUUCGAUUCCCACAGGGGGG